rnacentral:rRNA from 1 species
AUGUGUUGUGUGAUGUGGUUGACAUGGAUGCCAGCCAUGUUCUUCUUGGGAGACCUUGGCAAUUUGAUGUGGAUACUACACACAAGGGCAAGGAAAAUUCUUACUCUUUUCAUUUGGAACAAGAGAAAGAUCAUUAUUCUACCAAACAAAACUAAUGGUAAUAUAUCUAAGGACGAGGGGAAAAGUAUGUUAACUAUCUCCCACACCUUUAAUGAGUUUAUGGAAGACUUGAAGGAGGCAGAUUUAUGUGCUGCAUUUAUUAUAAAAGGAGAAGAGCACCCGACUGUUGAAAUUCCAGCAAAGGUACGUAGAUUAUUAGUAGAAUUUCAUAACAUACUUGGCGAGCCACAAGGCCUACCACCGACGAGAGGAAUUCAACAUAUAAUUGACUUAAUUUUGGGAGCAAGUCUUCCUAAUCUUCCACACUAUCGAAUGAGCCCAAAGGAGCAUGAUAUAUUGAAGGAGAAAGUGGAGGAAUUGCUGCAAAAGGGGCACAUUCGAGAAAAUAUUAGCCCAUGUGCUGUACCAGCCCUACUCACGCCAAAAAAAGAUGGAUCUUGGCGCAUGUGUACGGACAGUAGAGCCAUUAACAAGAUCACCGUAAGGUAUAGAUUCCCGAUUCCCCGUCUGGAUGAUAUGUUGGACCAGCUUAGUGGAGCAAGAGUGUUCAGAAAGCUAGAUUUAAGAAGUGGAUAUCAUCAAAUCCGUAUAAGACCCGGGGAUGAAUGGAAAACCGCCUUCAAGACAAAGGAAGAGUUGUUUGAAUGGCUAGUCAUGCCAUUUGGACUUUCAAAUGCACCAAGUACCUUUAUGCACUUAAUGAAUCAAGUCCUUUGA